CCCACUAUAUUGAGGUCCCUAAGUAGCGUGGAAGCAUCGUUGGAGCGAUCAACCCAUUAUUUUCAUCUUUUGGAAACCCUAGGCUAUUGGAAAGUUGAAGAAGGAAGACCUUGGGCAGCCCGAAUCAUAGGUUGGAUUUAGCUUGAGUUUGGAUCGUAUUGGAGAGCGUUUGAGGUACAGACGCACAGCCUGGUGAUCCACCUGUUUAGGACACCCUUUCUGCUAUUCGGAGUGCUCCUCUCUUUCCGGAGCUUAUACUUUUGGUAUAUAUAUUUAUUAGUGCAUUUGUAUAUAUUCGUUCAUGGGUACGGCGGGGCCUUGUCCCGUCAUAUGAUUCUGUCGGUCUGUUUAGAGGUCUGUGGACAUGUUUGUGGGUUAGGGUCUU